rnacentral:misc_RNA from 1 species
GAUGAAGAACGUAGCGAAAUGCGAUAAGUAAUGUGAAUUGCAGAAUUCAGUGAAUCAUCGAAUCUUUGAACGCACCUUGCACCCUUUGGCAUUCUGAAGGGUAUGCUCGUUUGAGUGUCAUUGUACUCUCACACUCCCGAUCUCUGCAUUGGGAGCAGUGGACUUGGGUUUGCUGCUUCACCGUCGCUUACCUCAAAUAGGUUAGUGCAACUCUUGGUUGGACAUAGUACGGCGUGAUAAGUGUUCUUCGCCGGUGCCUCGCAAAGAGGGUGGCCGAUCGGGAUGUUGUGCUCCAAACCGUCUUCGGACAAUCUCUGACGACUUGACCUCAAAUCGAGUAAGACUACCCGCUGAACUUAAGCAUAUCAAUAAGCGGAGGA